rnacentral:lncRNA from 1 species
AACCCUUCGCUUCCCUUCUCCACAACCGCUCUGCGCCUGGUUUGUUUGUUUUUUAAUUUUAAUUUUUUCGUGUGUUUUUUGAAACGGGGGUCUCGCUAUGUUGCGCAGGCUGUUCUCGAACUCCUGAGCUCAAGCUGUCCGCCCGCCUCGGCCUCCCAAAGUGCUGGGAAUACAGGCGUGAGCCACCGCGCCCGGCCGCUCCUGUUUUUCUUUAUUAUUUUCUCUUAUGUCUUAGUACCCCAACUACAUGAUAAAUUCCUCCAUAUUUAACAAUUUGUAACUUAAUUAACUGAAUUCCUAAUUCCUUACCUAAUUACUUAAUUCCUAACUUAACCUUCUAAUGAAUUUAUAGCCCCUGUCUCCCACUGAAUGACUGUGACCUAAGACCAUGGGGUAUGGUGUCUCAUUGUCUGCGUUCCUGGCUCCACUCUAUAUGGACUUGCUCAAGUUAUACUUAAAUCGUUGCCUCAAUUUAUCAGUUGAGAAUGGUAAAAGUUUGUAAUUUAUAAAUUCAGUGAAUUAACUGAGUCAAUUCAUGCAACAGUUUUGUAAACCAAAAAUAAAAUUCUAAGUCCCCCAACCAACUGAAUGGACCACUUCUCUCAGCCAAAACAUUCCAAAGAAAACCUGGCAAUCUAGUUCAGGCCAUGAUGGGAAGCAGGGGAUCGGACUUGCCUCGUUAUGCCCUUGGAAUUCAGGCACUACGGACCAGCAUUAACAUUAAAACAGAGAUCUUGAGACUGACUAAAACUUUUUUUUUUUUUUUCCGAGAUGGAGUCUUACUCUGUAGCCCAGGCUGGAGUACAGUUUCCCGAUCUCGGCUCACUGCAACCUCCGCCUCCCGGGUUCAAGCAAUUCUCCUGCCUCA